rnacentral:tRNA from 1 species
GGUACGGUAGCUCAGUUGGUAGAGCAGCUUACUUUUAUUGAUUGUUGCCUGACAUGUUCAGUGCCGUAGAUAAAAGUUACUUCGACUAUUAAUCGGCUGGUCGCAGGUUCGAAUCCCGCCCGUACCA